rnacentral:rRNA from 1 species
CUCGGAGCUUGCUCCGGGCGAUCAGUGGCGAACGGGUGAGUAACACGUGAGUAACCUGCCCCUGGCUCUGGGAUAACCUCGGGAAACCGAAGCUAAUACCGGAUACGACACAGACAGGCAUCUGUACUGUGUGGAAAGUUUUUCGGCUAGGGAUGGACUCGCGGCCUAUCAGCUUGUUGGUGGGGUAAUGGCCUACCAAGGCGACGACGGGUAGCCGGCCUGAGAGGGCGACCGGCCACACUGGGACUGAGACACGGCCCAGACUCCUACGGGAGGCAGCAGUGGGGAAUAUUGCGCAAUGGGCGAAAGCCUGACGCAGCGACGCCGCGUGAGGGAUGAAGGCCUUCGGGUUGUAAACCUCUUUCAGCAGGGAAGAAGCGAAAGUGACGGUACCUGCAGAAGAAGCACCGGCUAACUACGUGCCAGCAGCCGCGGUAAUACGUAGGGUGCAAGCGUUGUCCGGAAUUAUUGGGCGUAAAGAGCUCGUAGGCGGUCUGUCGCGUCUGCUGUGAAAACCCAGGGCUUAACCCUGGGCCUGCAGUGGGUACGGGCAGACUAGAGUGCGGUAGGGGAGAUCGGAAUUCCUGGUGUAGCGGUGAAAUGCGCAGAUAUCAGGAGGAACACCGGUGGCGAAGGCGGAUCUCUGGGCCGUAACUGACGCUGAGGAGCGAAAGCAUGGGGAGCGAACAGGAUUAGAUACCCUGGUAGUCCAUGCCGUAAACGUUGGGCGCUAGGUGUGGGGCUCAUUCCACGAGUUCUGUGCCGCAGCAAACGCAUUAAG